UCCACAAAUUGACCAAUUUCUGACGUGCC
rnacentral:piRNA from 1 species